rnacentral:rRNA from 1 species
GCGGAAUGCUUAACACAUGCAAGUCGAACGGUAACAGGCCUUCGGGCGCUGACGAGUGGCGGACGGGUGCGUAACGCGUAGGAAUCUGCCUGUUAGUGGGGGACAACGUGGGGAAACUCACGCUAAUACCGCAUACGCCCUACGGGGGAAAGCGGGGGACCUUCGGGCCUCGCGCUAACAGAUGAGCCUGCGUUGGAUUAGCUAGUUGGUAGGGUAAAGGCCUACCAAGGCGACGAUCCAUAGCUGGUCUGAGAGGACGAUCAGCCACACUGGGACUGAGACACGGCCCAGACUCCUACGGGAGGCAGCAGUGGGGAAUAUUGGACAAUGGGCGCAAGCCUGAUCCAGCAAUACCGCGUGUGUGAAGAAGCCUGAGGGUUGUAAAGCACUUUUAAUCGGGAGGAACACCUGUCAGCGAAUACCUGGCAGUCUGACAUUACCGAUAGAAAAAGCACCGGCUAACUCCGUGCCA